rnacentral:tRNA from 1 species
GCGGGGGUAGUUCAAUUGGUAGAACGCAACCUUGCCAAGGUUGAGGUCGAGGGUUCGAAACCCUUCUCCCGCU